UUUGGCUGUAGGACACAAGUAAAAGGAGAAGAAUGCUGCUCAGCUGGGUUGGCGAAGCUCUUGGAUAUCAUCAGCACAUGUAUGAAGCACAGAGUCAUUCCGGUAGGCACAGAGUCGUUCCUCGAUGGACGUGAUGACCUGGCACCAAAACCGCUUAAUGUGUAUGAGGCUGUGUCUGCAUCGAGGGAAGAAACCAGCACUGAAAUGUUGAGUGACACAAAUGAAAGAAGAGUACUUCUGCUCUGCUGGGUCUGCGACACUAAUUAUCCGAGGAGUCCUCAAACAUCAGGAUGUAGGAAGACACAAGUAAAAGGAGAAGAAUGCUGCUCAGCUGGGUCGGCGGUCACACUACUUAUUCAAGAAGCUCUUGGAUAUCAUCAGCAUGUAUGAAGCACAGUCAUUCCGGUAGGCACGGAGUCGUUCCUCGAUGGACGUGAUGACCUGGCACCAAAACCGCUUAAUGUGUAUGAAGCUGUGUCUGCAUCGAGGGAAGAACCCAGCACUGAAAUGACACAAAUGAAAGAGGAC